UGUUGAUAGAACAAUGUAGAUAAGGGAAGUCGGCAAAAUGGAUCCGUAACUUCGGGAUAAGGAUUGGCUCUAAGGGUCGGGCUCGCUGGGCCUUGGGGGAAACCCCUCGGAGCAGGGGGGCACUAGCCGGGCAACCGGCCGGCGCCCCCCAGCACCGGGUGGGGGACGCCCUUGGCAGGCUUCGGCCGUCCGGCGGGCGCUUAACGACCAACUUAGAACUGGUACGGACAAGGGGAAUCUGACUGUCA
rnacentral:rRNA from 1 species